GGACUGUGGCUCAGCAGUAGAGCGCUUGCCUUGCAUGUACAAGACCCUGGGUUCGAUCCUCAGCACCA
rnacentral:tRNA from 1 species